rnacentral:rRNA from 1 species
UACGGAAGGCAGCAGUGGGGAAUAUUGCACAAUGGGCGAAAGCCUGAUGCAGCUAUGCCGCGUGUAUGAAGAAGGCCUUAGGGUUGUAAAGUACUUUCAUCGGGGAGGAAAAAACAAAACUAAUAAUUUUAUUUCUUGACGUUACCCGAAAAAGAAGCACCGGCUAACUCCGUGCCAGUAGCCGCGGUAAUACGGAGGGUGCUAGCGUUAAUCAGAAUUACUGGGCGUAAAGAGCACGUAGGUGGUUUUUUUAAAGUCAGAUGUGAAAUCCCUGGGCUUAACCUAGGAACUGCAUUUUGAAACUGAAAUACUAGAGUAUCGUAGAGGGAGGUAGAAUUCUAGGUGUAGCGGUGAAAUGCGUAGAUAUCUGGAGGAAUACCUGUGGCGAAAGCGGCCUCCUAAACGAAUACUGACACUGAGGGUGCGAAAGCGUGGGGAGCAAACAGGGAUUAGAUACC